UAUAACUUUAUAUUAGUCAGCUGACACAACACCUUAACUAUCCAAGGGGUUUCCUAAUACGCAACACUCUCUCAGAACAUUUGAGGAACAAAUCAAGGGAAGUUUUCAAAUCAGCAUUACAUGUGUAAAGUCAUAAUCCCUGAACAUGAUAAAUAGCGUAGUAGAAAAUUUGAAAAGCGGAAAAAUUAAACCCUUUCAUCGUCGCGCAAACGGCGCACGAAAGGCUAUGCCACGUGUCUUUUACUGUGACGAAGGGGAAAAGGUUAAAAACGCGUCCAGCCAUCGAUCCCCUCAUUUUCCCCAUCUCCCAUUUUCUCUUCCCUGAGUGGCGGCUAGGGUUAGCGCGAUCGCCGCCUCAUCCCCGCACGCAACCUCUCCUUUCGGCUCUCCUCCGCGGCUCCGCCUCCUCCUCUGGCGGCAUCCAACCCAUCGUCUUCUCCUACUUCCCUCUCUUAUUCUUCUGUGCCUCGACGAGGUGGGCAAGCCGGUGCACACACAAAGGGUGGUUGCGGCUGCGGCUCCGAUGCGGGCGCCGUGGAGGUGGAGUCGGAGCUGCAGCAGAAGGAGGUGGACGGCCGCGACAACAGCUUUAGCUUCGAUGAGUUCCAUCACCUCCAUUGCUAUCUCAGUGCCUUGACGAAAGCAAAAUUGGCCUCCCGUGCUAUGAUGACGCGAAGAAUGGGACAAUUUGCUCGAUCAGUUUCAAAUCAGAAACAAGAAAUUUGAGAAAUUCGUUGGAUAAGUACUGAUAUGGUGCUUUUAUAAGAAAGUAGGCAUACUAUAUAUUUUUUCCUUACAUACCACUAUGCUUUAGUAGUAUUGGUAUUUACUUUCUCAUUUGCAUAAUGAUAUAGUCAUUUAUGGGCCUUUACCAAUGAAGUGGUAAUAUUAGAUAUGGGUAAUUGGGUCAUGGAUAAUUAAUUAAUUAUUGGCUCGUAUUAACUCUGGAGCAUCUUCAAAUUUCGCAGUUAUGUUUUCUAAAAGUUUUCCCUUUGGUAUAAAUGAGAAGCUAGAAAACAAUAUUUGUUUGCUGGCAAGUAAAAUAUGGUCCCCCCUUCUGUAACUUCUUAGUGUAUUCUGUUUCUUUCAUGGGAGUUCAAUUAGACACAGUCGUUGUUGCUUUUGUAUGCUGGAACUUAGCCAAAGGAGGUUGCUUGGUUGAUAUAUUAUCUUAAAAAGUUCUACUGAGAAUUUGGAAUGAAGUGCUUGAUUGGAAAUCCCUAAGCAAAACUUUGGUACUGCUUCAUUGGAUAUCGGUUACAUUAUGAUGUAUUGCAAAUUUUCGUACUACUUAUUUGAUGAAUUAAUGCUUCUACAUAUUUGUAGGUUGUGUUAGUUGACUUUGUUGAAAGAAAUGAAUAAUUUGAAAAUAGCUGGCAUGUUCUCUUAAUCAAGAUUAUUUCUUGGUGUAGAUUAUAUGAUUAUUAAUGCAGGUCCAUGCUCUACUCUGAUGGCUGAGGUUGGAUACACUUGCUACAUGUUUAUUUAAUUUUAUUCUAUUGGAGGAUUCAAACUCUAGACUGAUGAAGUGGUGCAUUUUGAAUUUUCUUCUUAGAUAUUGUGAAUGGUCUACUGAAGGUAUCAAUAAUAAUACAUACUUUACAUAGUCAAGAUUCAUACUUUCCUUAUUACAUGUUGGUUUAUAUCCCCUACAUAUGUGAUGUGUGUUUAGCUUAUCAACUAUUCUUAAGUGAAUCUUAUGUGGUAUUGCAGGACUAACUUUUCUUUAGACAAUUUUGUAAUCUUUAGUUCAUUUUGGGUCAUUUCCAUUGCCUGUUAGUGUUUUUCGCUAGAGUGCUUUGCAGGCAGUUGUUUGAAAUAGAACCUUCCAGCCAUCUUACUUCUCCAAUAGUACUUUCUUGUUGAGUUUGGUUGGACGUUCUCCAAAGUAAAUUUGGGAGAACAAUAAACCAUACUUUCUAUGUUUUGAAACUAGAGCUGGCCAUGAUUAAUUCUUUUCAAGUUGAUAGUCUAUCAGAGUUUGAAUUUGCUUUUGUAUAGCAAUAUGGAAGUAUAUUAUUUCAUCAUAUUUUCCUAAAGUAGCUUCUAAUUUGUUCACAUUUGUAGAACUACACAAUCUGCACAUUCCUUCUCUUCUCCUAAUCAAUUUCAUCUCAAAUUAGGCUUUAUCCCCUCAUUAGCAUUCUGAGCUACUUAAAUUUCUUCGCCCACAUGUUUGAUUUAGGUUUUUGUUUAGACAUGACAAAUGUUUGCAAGUUAUAGACGCCACGCCUGCCGCUGUCGGGGAGCUCCUGCCUGCGCUGCAAGCCUCAUGACCUUGCAAACUCGCUCGUGCUGCUUAAACGAUACGGCCUCUCCCUACUCAGGAUGGACUGCUUCGUGCAGAUUCACUCUUCUUUGCCUGAAGGCUCCUGUGUAUCCAGGACCGGCACAAGGAAAAUUCUGGGAUGAAGAAAAAAAGUGAAAAUGCAAAUAGAUGAGAAAUCCCAACUUAUUCCUUUGGCCAUUUCUGUAACCAAAGCUAUUGGCUGGCCAACACAAAGGAGCUGAAAUUUCAUACCGACAAAAAUAGGUGCUGGAGGUACCAUGCAAGCAAGCAUGGCGACCGCGAUCAUGCUGCAGUGGCUGGGUAUAUCCCCUCCCGCUAGCUGAGGAUGGGCUCGAUGAUGGUGCUCCUACCCUUACACAUGUAUAUUCCCACAUUGAACUUGAUUAUUGCAAUGAUUGGGUUGAUUUGGACAUACUGUGCCUUGAAUGACUUUUCCCGUUGGGCAAUUCAAAUGAUGGAAGCCUCUUUGGACCCUUCCACCUCUCCGGCCUCACCACUGGAGACUCGGAUGCGAGAACCGCCACCGCCACCGCCAUGUCUGUCGGUGACGCUCACACAAGAAUCCAGAGGCAGUACCUUGGUCCUCUCCCUGAGAACAACAGCUCUCUCAUGAUGCGCGGUCGCGGCCCGAGGGUGGCGGGACUGACGCCACCGUCCAUGCCAUGUUCUGGCUCAUCCCCAAGGCUCCUUGCCGAUGUCCAACCAGCGCCACACAUCCAAUGGUACUGCCAACAUGAGAACAACAGCUCUCUCAUGAUGCGCGGUCGCGGCCCGAGGGUGGCGGGACUGACGCCACCGUCCAUGCCAUGUUCUGGCUCAUCCCCAAGGCUCCUUGCCGAUGUCCAACCAGCGCCACACAUCCAAUGGUACUGCCAACAUGAGGACGCCCACCCCCGUGUUGAUCGAGCUUUUUGACCUGAGCCUGAUGGACAAGGUCAUACGGGCAUCUGAUUUUGAUUUGCUAUGUGCUCUCUUUUCACAAGUGUAGCUUUUUUGUGUUAUAAAACUAUGCUACCGAUUGUUCUUUGUUGAUAUUUCCCUACUUGUGUCCUGAUUAAUGGAUCUGAGGUAGUUAGAAGUCACUGAAUAACUACUUAUACUAUUGUGUCAGCCGUCACUGGCUACAAUUGUUUAUAUGAUACUUGUACUAUUAUA